GGCCUGGCCGGGCGGUCCGUCUUUGGCGAGUACUGUUCUGUGUCGGGUCUUACCUUCUGGUAAACCGGCAUGUUCUUUUAUUGUGUGUGCCGUGGGAACCAGACCAUUACCUUGAAAAAAUUAGAGUGUUUAAAGCGGGCUUUUGCUUGAAUAGAUUAGCAUGGAAUAAUAAAAUAGGACGUUGGUUCUAUUUUGUUGGUCUAGGACCACCGUA
rnacentral:rRNA from 1 species